GCGGAGAUGCCGGAGCGGUCAAACGGGAUAAUAAUCAUCCUAGGGUUUAGGCCCUAUUGGCUUAGUGCCUGCGCAGGUUCGAAUCCUGUUCUCCGCA
rnacentral:tRNA from 1 species